rfam:Asian citrus Psyllid, Diaphorina citri - Florida Strain, whole genome shotgun sequence.
GCCUGUGGCGAUAGCAAGUUGAAUGCACCCGUUCCCAAUGGAUCUCUGAAGUUAAGCAACGUUGCUCGUGGUUGGUCUAGGAAUAGGUGACCAUUUACACAAUUGCAAGCUGCUGGAU